rnacentral:rRNA from 1 species
UAAGGAAUAUUGGUCAAUGGACGCAAGUCUGAACCAGCCAUGCCGCGUGAAGGAUGAAGGUCCUCUGGAUUGUAAACUUCUUUUAUCUGGGACGAAAACGGGAUUUUUAUCUCAAUUGACGGUACCAGAGGAAUAAGCACCGGCUAACUCCGUGCCAGCAGCCGCGGUAAUACGAAGGGUGCGAGCGUUAUCCGGAUUUACUGGGUUUAAAGGGUGCGUAGGUGGGCUUAUAAGUCAGUGGUGAAAUCUCCGAGCUUAACUUGGAAACUGCCGUUGAUACUAUAGGUCUUGAAUUAUCUGGAGGUAAGCGGAAUAUGUCAUGUAGCGGUGAAAUGCUUAGAUAUGACAUAGAACACCGAUUGCGAAGGCAGCUUACUACAUAUAAAUUGACGCUGAGGCACGAAAGCGUGGGGAUCAAACA